rnacentral:rRNA from 1 species
AUUGGAAGUAAAAGUCGUAACAAGGUUUCCGUAGGUGAACCUGCGGAAGGAUCAUUACUAGAGCAAAGGAUAGACAGCGCCCGCGGAGCUCGCUCCCGGGGCCACCCUACUCCGGUAGGGUUUAGAGUCGUCGGGCCUCUCGGAGAAGCUCGGUCCUGAACUCCACCCUUGAAUAAACUACCUUUGUUGCUUUGGCGGGCCGCCUCGUGCCAGCGGCUUCGGCUGUUGAGUGCCCGCCAGAGGACCACAACUCUUGUUUUUAGUGAUGUCUGAGUACUAUAUAAUAGUUAAAACUUUCAACAACGGAUCUCUUGGUUCUGGCAUCGAUGAAGAACGCAGCGAAAUGCGAUAAGUAAUGUGAAUUGCAGAAUUCAGUGAAUCAUCGAAUCUUUGAACGCACAUUGCGCCCUCUGGUAUUCCGGGGGGCAUGCCUGUUCGAGCGUCAUUAUAACCACUCAAGCUCUCGCUUGGUAUUGGGGUUCGCGGUUUCGCGGCUCCUAAAAUCAGUGACGGUGCCUAUCGGCUCUACGCGUAGUAAUACUCCUCGCGAUUGAGUCCGGUAGGUCUACUUGCCAGCAACCCCUAAUUUUUUAAGGUUGACCUCGGAUCAGGUAGGGAUACCCGCUGAACUUAAGCAUAUCAAUAAGCGGAGGAA